CCCGAAGAUGUCGAUGCGGUCGGGCGGGGACGAGGCGCGCUCCCGGUCCCGCUCGCGCCGGGACACGGCCGUGUUGGUGGAGCGCGAGCGGGACCGCGACUCCCGCCGCCGGUUCCGUUUACUUUCCCGAGAUUUGGA
rnacentral:miRNA from 1 species